CUUACCCCCAGUGGUAGAAGGGAGGAAGGGAGGUCCCCUGUGGCCUCCCUUCCUUGUACUCCCAUUAGGGUCAGCAUGAAGCAGGGAUGAGGCUGUCUAGAUCAUCAUGGCAUUCCCAACACUAAACUCUGUGCCCAGCAGAAGAAUUCCCAGCUACCCUGGGUUCCACUCCAACCUCAUGAACAGCUUCAGAAAAGAGGAUCAGGACAACCAGUGCUCCUCUCACUGAAAUGCCCAGAUGUGGCAGAGAGGCAGGAAGGAUUUUGGGUCUGAGGACAGUGAGGAUCAUCAAUGAGAUGAUCCUGCCCAAAUGAAAGCCACUCAGGUGCUCCAAGGGAGUUCAGCCAUCAGCUCACUGGACUAGGUUUGGGCUGCAACACUGACCUGCCAGGACCCAGAGUCAUCAUGAGCCAGGCCACCUCCACCCACUGGGUCAGCUCAUCUCCUCUUUAUCUUUUCUCCUUCUCACCUGUGAGUACCCAGAGCAGGGUGGACAAGUAAGAGAUACACAGCAAGGUCUUAUGUGAAUACAGUGAUUCUACCUUACGACGUUUUUGGGAGAUACGAAGGUACUUAGAGGAGCUCAGUUUCCAAAGCAGCGCUCCAGGAAGCUGGAAAUCUGCACCAUGCUCUGGGCUCCUCUCCUCUGCCUCCGCCCUCACUAUUCAGUGUCCGUGGCCCAGGCAGGGCAGACUCAGCAGCUGUCUGUAUCCAAGGGCUUGGGACAGACAACCACACUCACCUGCACUGGGGACAGCAACAAUGUUGGCAAAGAUGGAGCUGUCUGGCUGCAGCAGCACCAGGGCCAUGCUCCCAAACACCUGAUCAACAGGAAAAACAGCCAACUCUCAGGGAUCUCAGAGAGAUUCCCUGGCUCCCGGUUAGGAACAUGGCAUCUCUGACCAUCUCUGGCCUCCAGACCAAGGACAAGCCUGCCUAUUACUGCUCAGCCUGGGACAGCAGCCUCAGUGCUCACACAGUGCCUCGGGGGAAGUGAGACGAAAACUCACGAGCUCCCCUAGCUUCACUCGGCAUGUGGGGGCCUCACAGAGCACUGUUUAAACUAAACAAA